CAGAUUUUGUAAUAUCAAUAAAGAGGAGAAUUACUAUGUCUGUUUGAUCCUGCCAUUUUAUCAGAGUAAACUGCUUUAAUGAUUUACAUGUACAUAGUAUUUAGAUAUUUUUAAACUUUGUGGUGGGAUUUGAUCCUGUAACUGUUUUUGUUUUGCCUAAGGAGUGAAUGAAAAUUCGGUAUGUUUUUUUUUGUGCAAGUGACAAGAGUGCUUCUAAAUUGGUUUAUAAGCUUUAGACUUAAGUGCUUCUUCACAUUCAGUACUAGUUACAACUGUUUGAAAUAUGUUGAAGAGAAUUGAGAUUGAUUUCUGACAUAAAGUAUUUGAUGAUUUGUAUACUUCCUACAUGAUGUAUUUGAUGUCCUUUCUUCUUGUAUAAAGGUUUAAUUGCAUGGAAUCCAUAAAGGCCUAGAUCUGCUUUCAUCUUGUCAUACAUAUUUAGAAAGUAGAAAUCAAAAGAACGAUUUACUAUCUCGCUAUCCUCAUCUUUUUAUCUAUUUUAUAUACAUGCGUUUUUGUAUUUUUCUUCCUCAAGAAUUUUUGUUCUUCUGAUUUACACUAACUUCAUUCCUGAAAAAGAUUUAUCAGUAUGAAUCAAACUGUAGAAUAAAAUAUCUGAUUU
rnacentral:misc_RNA from 1 species